rnacentral:rRNA from 2 species
GGGGCUAAUGCCCAAUACGCCCUGACCUCACCUGAGGUCAGCGGUAAAGCAGGGAUCUUCGGAUCCUUGCACAGUCCGAUGGGCCCGCGGCGCAUUAGCUAGUUGGAGAGGUAAGGGCUCCCCAAGGCGACGAUGCGUAGCCGACCUGAGAGGGUGAUCGGCCACACUGGGACUGAGACACGGCCCAGACUCCUACGGGAGGCAGCAGUAGGGAAUCAUCCGCAAUGGGCGAAAGCCUGACGGUGCAACGCCGCGUGAGUGAUGAAGGUUUUCGGAUCGUAAAGCUCUGUUGACAGGGAAGAACCCACGCCAGUCGAACAGGCUGGCGUGCUGACGGUACCUGUCCAGAAAGCCCCGGCUAACUACGUGCCAGCAGCCGCGGUAAUACGUAGGGGGCAAGCGUUGUCCGGAAUUAUUGGGCGUAAAGGGCACGCAGGCGGUUUCGUCAGUCCGAUGUGACAGGCCACGGCUCAACCGUGGAAGGCCAUUGGAAACUGCGAGACUUGAGGACAGAAGAGGAGAGUGGAAUUCCACGUGUAGCGGUGAAAUGCGUAGAUAUGUGGAGGAACACCAGUGGCGAAGGCGACUCUCUGGUCUGUACCUGACGCUGAGGUGCGAAAGCAUGGGGGAGCAAACAGGAUUAGAUACCCUGGUAGUCCAUGCCGUAAACGCUGAGUGCUAGGUGUUAGGGGUUUCGAUACCCGUAGUGCCGAAGCUAACGCAUUAAGCACUCCGCCUGGGGAGUACGACCGCAAGGUUGAAACUCAAAGGAAUUGACGGGGGCCUGCACAAGCGGUGGAGCAUGUGGUUUAAUUCGACGCAACGCGAAGAACCUUACCAGAUCUUGACAUCUUCCGCUACGCCUCGAGAGAGGCGGUUCCCCUUCGGGGGACGGAAUGACAGGUGGUGCAUGGUUGUCGUCAGCUCGUGUCGUGAGAUGUUGGGUUAAGUCCCGCAACGAGCGCAACCCCUAAUCUUAGUUGCCAGCAUUCAGUUGGGCACUCUAAGGUGACUGCCGGUGACAAACCGGAGGAAGGUGGGGAUGACGUCAAAUCAUCAUGCCCCUUAUGAUCUGGGCUACACACGUG